CCAUUGGCUUUUUUAAAAGCCUCAAACUUUGCCUAAUUUUUUUUA
rfam:Phlebotomus papatasi Contig41247.1, whole genome shotgun sequence.